CGCAGCUCCAGACUUGGUUCACUCACCUCUGCCUCCCCAUUCGGCCAGCCGGGCUUGCUCGCCAGCCUCCUCCUCUCGCCGCCUCCAUGACGCCCUCCGGUCCUCCGGUUGUCGUCAUUCAAAACAAUUUUUAAAUCAAACAAGACCCACAUUUACUUCUGCAUCAGAUUAAAAGAACCAUUCUGAAGCAGAACAGCUACAACAGCUACAGCACAACCCAGCCCACAACCGCCUGCCAUAAAGGCCUGUACCCCUGUAUGGCGCGGAAAACAGUACCGAGGUGAUUUACAGCGGUUCCAACCAGGACUGUGGAGACGGUGAAGACACAGCUAGUUCAGGUGGGGACAGGAGAGGAGCGAGCUUGUAGCAAGUUAAUUUGUCUAUCAUGCUUAUAAGUCAGCUGCAUGCCCUUUGUUAAAGGCUCAUUAUUACGGUGUUAUUGUUCUGUAUUGCAGCACAGUGUUCAUAAUGUUGCUUACUACAUUGUUUCUCAAACCAUUUUCUGAUGCCCCCAAAGUAUUUAUUUAAUAUUUA